GGAAUUCGAUUCAGGCCUAACACAUCCAAAUCGAGCGGUAGAGAGAAGCUUGCUUCUCUUGAAAAAAAAGGACGGGUGAGUAAUCCCUAGGAAUCUGCCUGGUAGUGGGGGAUAACGUUCGGAAACGGACGCUAAGAUCGCAUACGUCCGACGGGGGAAAGCAGGGGACCGUCGGGCCUUGGGCUAUCAGAUGAGCCUAGGUGGGAUUAGGUAGUUGGUGAGGUAAUGGCUCACCAAGGCGACGAUCCGUAACUGGUCUGAGAGGAUGAUCAGUCACACUGUAUUGGGGACGCGCUCCAGACUCCUACGGGAGGCAGCAGUGGGGAAUAUUGGACAAUGG
rnacentral:rRNA from 1 species